UAGCAUAUCAAUAAGCGGAGGAAAAGAAACCAACAGGGAUUGCCCUAGUAACGGCGAGUGAAGCGGCAAAAGCUCAAAUUUGAAAGCUGGCCUUCGGGUCCGCAUUGUAAUUUGUAGAGGAUGCUUUGGGGCAGCCGCCUGUCUAAGUUCCUUGGAACAGGACGUCAUAGAGGGUGAGAAUCCCGUAUGUGACAGGACAUGGCACCCUAUGUAAAGCUCCUUCGACGAGUCGAGUUGUUUGGGAAUGCAGCUCUAAAUGGGAGGUAAAUUUCUUCUAAAGCUAAAUACCGGCGAGAGACCGAUAGCGCACAAGUAGAGUGAUCGAAAGAUGAAAAGCACUUUGGAAAGAGAGUUAAAAAGCACGUGAAAUUGUUGAAAGGGAAGCGCUUGCAAUCAGACUUGUCCCGCGUUGUUCAGCCGGUCUUCUGACCGGUCCAUUCAGCACGGGACAGGCCAGCAUCAGUUUCGGCGGUCGGAUAAAGGCCCUGGGAAUGUGGCUCACCCUUCGGGGGGAGUGUUAUAGCCCAGGGUGUAAUACGGCCAGCCGGGACUGAGGUCCGCGCUUCGGCUAGGAUGCUGGCGUAAUGGUUGUAAGCGACCCGUCUUGAAACACGGACCAAGGAGUCUAACAUCUAUGCGAGUGUUCGGGUGUCAAACCCCUGCGCGUAAUGAAAGUGAACGGAGGUGGGAACCGCAAGGUGCACCAUCGACCGAUCCUGAUGUCUUCGGAUGGAUUUGAGUAAGAGCAUAGCUGUUGGGACCCGAAAGAUGGUGAACUAUGCCUGAAUAGGGUGAAGCCAGAGGAAACUCUGGUGGANGCUCGCAGCGGUUCUNACGU
rnacentral:rRNA from 1 species